rnacentral:rRNA from 1 species
AGAAUCAACGCUGGCGGCGUGCCUAACACAUGCAAGUCGAACGAGAAAGUGGAGCAAUCCAUGAGUAAAGUGGCGCACGGGUGAGUAACACGUGACUAACCUACCCUUGAGUGGGGAAUAACUUCGGGAAACCGAGGCUAAUACCGCAUAACACCUACGGGUCAAAGGAGCAAUUCGCUUAAGGAGGGGGUCGCGGCAGAUUAGCUAGUUGGCGGGGUAAUGGCCCACCAAGGCAGUGAUCUGUA